rnacentral:rRNA from 1 species
CAAUAGCGUAUAUUAAAGUUGUUGCAGUUAAAAAGCUCGUAGUUGGAUUUGUGGCUGUCACGGGCGGCCUAUCACUUAGUGUUAGUGCUUGCCUGUGUCGCCAUCCUUGGGUGGAGCCCGUGUGGCAUUAGGUUGUCGUGCGGGGGAUGCCCAUCGUUUACUGUGAGAAAAUUAGAGUGUUCAAAGCAGGCUUAUGCCGUCGAAUAUGUUAGCAUGGAAUAAUAAGAUAGGACCUCGGUACUAUUUUGUUGGUUUGCGCACCGAGGUAAUGAUUAAUAGGGACAGUUGGGGGUAUUCGUAUUUCAUUGUCAGAGGUGAAAUUCUUGGAUUUCUGAAAGACGAACUACUGCGAAAGCAUUUACCAAGGAUGUUUUCAUUAA